rnacentral:rRNA from 1 species
UCAGGAUGAACGCUAGCGGCAGGCCUAAUACAUGCAAGUCGAACGGUAGAUUACUUUCGGGUAAUUGAGAGUGGCGAACGGGUGCGUAACGCGUAUGCAACCUACCCUAUACAGGAGGAUAGCCCGGAGAAAUCUGGAUUAAUACCCCAUAGUAUCAUUGAGCUGCAUGGUUUAAUGAUUAAAGAUUCAUCGGUAUAGGAUGGGCAUGCGUCUGAUUAGCUAGUUGGCGGUGUAACGGACCACCAAGGCUACGAUCAGUAGGGGUUCUGAGAGGAAGGUCCCCCACACUGGCACUGAGAUACGGGCCAGACUCCUACGGGAGGCAGCAGUAGGGAAUAUUGGGCAAUGGACGAGAGUCUGACCCAGCCAUGCCGCGUGCAGGAAGACGGCGUUCUGCGUUGUAAACUGCUUUUAUCUGGGAAGAAAAUGCCCUUGCGAGGGAAAUUGCCGGUACCAGAUGAAUAAGCACCGGCUAACUCCGUGCCAGCAGCCGCGGUAAUACGGAGGGUGCAAGCGUUGUCCGGAUUUAUUGGGUUUAAAGGGUGCGUAGGCGGCUAUUUAAGUCAGUGGUGAAAGACUCCGGCUCAACCGGAGCAGUGCCAUUGAUACUGGAUAGCUUGAGUAUUGGAGGGGUACAUGGAAUUGAUGGUGUAGCGGUGAAAUGCAUAGAUACCAUCAGGAACACCGAUAGCGAAGGCAUUGUACUGGCCAAUAACUGACGCUGAUGCACGAAAGCAUGGGUAGCGAACAGGAUUAGAUACCCUGGUAGUCCAUGCCGUAAACGAUGAUUACUCGCUGUUAUGGCUUUAUGUUGUAGCGGCCAAGCGAAAGCG